UACGUAGGGUGCAAGCGUUGUCCGGAAUUAUUGGGCGUAAAGAGCUCGUAGGCGGUCUGUCGCGUCGGAUGUGAAACCUCGGGGCUCAACCCCGAGCCUGCAUUCGAUACGGGCAGACUAGAGUUCGGUAGGGGAGACUGGAAUUCCUGGUGUAGCGGUGAAAUGCGCAGAUAUCAGGAGGAACACCGGUGGCGAAGGCGGGUCUCGUGGGCCGAUACUGACGCUGGAGGAGCGAAAGCGUGGGGAGCGAACAGG
rnacentral:rRNA from 1 species